UACAGAGGGGGCAAGCGUUGUUCGGAAUUACUGGGCGUAAGGGCGCGUAGGCGGCCCGCUAAGUCGAACGUGAAAUCCCUGGGCUCAACCCAGGAACUGCGUCCGAUACUGGUGGGCUUGAAUCCGGGAGAGGGAUGCGGAAUUCCAGGUGUAGCGGUGAAAUGCGUAGAUAUCUGGAGGAACACCGGUGGCGAAGGCGGCAUCCUGGACCGGCAUUGACGCUGAGGCGCGAAAGCUAGGGGAGCAAACGGG
rnacentral:rRNA from 1 species